GCUCAUAUCUUGAGUAUUGAUUUGUGAUCAUGUGAUCUCUAUUCUACAGUGACCACAUAAACAUGAUUCGUUUCUUUGUCGCACCAACUCAUGUGCUUUGUUCCUUACAUUGAUGGGCUUAGUCCUUGACUUUAAUUAUCUCACCUUGAAUCUUUUCCUCUGCUAUGCCUAAUGGUUUUUUUGGGUUGUUUCACCUUGAGUCUUUUCCUCUUGCAUUGCUUUCCAUGAUGAAGAGUGGGGAGUUCCUGUCCAUGACAACAA
rnacentral:lncRNA from 1 species